rnacentral:rRNA from 1 species
CUUUAGUUACCAUCAUUCAGUUGGGGACUCUAGAGAGACUGCCGGUGAUAAACCGGAGGAAGUGGGGAUGACGUCAAAUCAUCAUGCCCCUUAUGGCCUGGGCUACAAACGUAAUACAAUGGCGUAUACAAAGGGAUGCGAAAGGGCGACCUGGAGCAAAACUCACAAAGUACGUCUCAGUUCAGAUUGGAGUCUGCAACUCGACUCCAUGAAGGCGGAAUCGCUAGUAAUCGCGGAUCAGCAUGCCGCGGUGAAUACGUUCUCGGGUUU